UACGGGAGGCAGCAGUGGGGAAUAUUGCACAAUGGGCGAAAGCCUGAUGCAGCUAUGCCGCGUGUAUGAAGAAGGCCUUAGGGUUGUAAAGUACUUUCAUCGGGGAGGAAAAAACAAAACUAAUAAUUUUAUUUCUUGACGUUACCCGAAAAAGAAGCACCGGCUAACUCCGUCGCCAGCAGCCGCGGUAAUACGGAGGGUGCUAGCGUUAAUCAGAAUUACUGGGCGUAAAGAGCACGUAGGUGGUUUUUUUAAGUCAGAUGUGAAAUCCCUGGGCUUAACCUAGGAACUGCAUUUUGAAACUGAAAUACUAGAGUAUCGUAGAGGGAGGUAGAAUUCUAGGUGUAGCGGUGAAAUGCGUAGAUAUCUGGAGGAAUACCUGUGGCGAAAGCGGCCUCCUAAACCGAAUACUGACACUGAGGUGCGAAAGCGUGGGGAGCAAACAGGGAUUAGAUACCCG
rnacentral:rRNA from 1 species